rnacentral:rRNA from 1 species
GAUGAACGCUGGCGGCGUGCCUAACACAUGCAAGUCGAACGGAAAGGCGCGGAGCUUGCUCCUUUGACGUUAGCGGCGGGCGGGAGAGUAACGCGUGGGUCACCUCCCUGUAAGACUGGGAUAACUAGGGGAAACCGGAGCUAAUACGGGAUAAGAUUUCGAACCGCAGGGUGCGAUGGUGAAAGAUGGCUUUGCUGUCACUUAUAGAUGGACCUGCGCCGUAUUAGCUAGUUGGUAAGGUAACGGCUUACCAAGGCGACGAUCCGUAGCCGACCUGAGAGGGUGAUCGGCCACACUGGAACUGAGACACGGCCCAGACUCCUACGGGAGGCAGCAGUGGGGAAUUUUCGGCAAUGGGCGCAAGCCUGACGCAGCAAUGCCGCGUGCGUGAUGAAGGUCUUCGGGUCGUAAAACUCUGUUAUUAGGGAAGAACAGCCUUCUAAUUAAACGUGCAGGUCUUGACGGUACCGAAUGAAAAAGCAACGGCUAACUACGUG